rnacentral:rRNA from 1 species
AUUGAACGCUGGCGGCAGGCCUAACACAUGCAAGUCGAGCGGAUGAAGGGAGCUUGCUCCUGGAUUCAGCGGCGGACGGGUGAGUAAUGCCUAGGAAUCUGCCUGGUAGUGGGGGAUAACGUCCGGAAACGGGCGCUAAUACCGCAUACGUCCUGAGGGAGAAAGUGGGGGAUCUUCGGACCUCACGCUAUCAGAUGGGCCUAGGUCGGAUUAGCUAGUUGGUGGGGUAAAGGCCUACCAAGGCGACGAUCCGUAACUGGUCUGAGAGGAUGAUCAGUCACACUGGAACUGAGACACGGUCCAGACUCCUACGGGAGGCAGCAGUGGGGAAUAUUGGACAAUGGGCGAAAGCCUGAUCCAGCCAUGCCGCGUGUGUGAAGAAGGUCUUCGGAUUGUAAAGCACUUUAAGUUGGGAGGAAGGGCAGUAAGUUAAUACCUUGCUGUUUUGACGGUACCAACAGAAUAAGCACCGGCUAACUUCGUG